rnacentral:rRNA from 1 species
UACAGAGGGUGCGAGCGUUAAUCGGAAUUACUGGGCGUAAAGCGUGCGUAGACGGCUAUCUAAGUCGGGUGUGAAAGCCCCGGGCUCAACCUGGGAAUUGCAUUUGAGACUGAAUAGCUAGGGUGCGGAAGAGGGAAGCGGAAUUUCCGGUGUAGCGGUGAAAUGCGUAGAUAUCGGAAGGAACACCAGUGGCGAAAGCGGCUUCCUGGUCCAGCACCGACGUUCAGGCACGAAAGCGUGGGGAGCAAACAGG